rnacentral:rRNA from 1 species
CCCCUCCCCACCACCCCAAGGGAACAAGGAGCAGGUAUCAGGCACUUCCCCGAAGGCCCACGACACCCUGCCUAGCCACACCCCCACGGGACCUCAGCAGUGAUAAACAUUAAGCCAUAUGCGAAAGCUUGACUUAGUUAUAGCUAAGAGGGCCGGUAAAACUCGUGCCAGCAACCGCGGCUAUACGGGUGACCCAAGUUGAUCAGCCACCGGCGUAAAGCGUGGAUAGGGCAGAACCCCCACUAAAGCCAAACACCUUCUAAAGCUGUCAUACGCAAUCAAAGAUAGGAAGUCCGACCACGAAAGUGGCUUUAUGUAGUCUCAACCCACGAAAGCUAGGGAACAAACGAGGAUCAGAGACCCUCCUAUGCCUAGCCAUAAACAUUGAUGGCCCAGUACACUCACCAUCCGCCUGGGAACUACGAGCAAGUGCUUAAAACCCGAAGGACCUGGCGGUGCUUUAGACCCCCCUAGAGGAGCCUGUUCUGGAACCGAUGCCCCCCGUUCAACCUCACCCCUACUUGUUUAUCCA